GUCACUUCAUGGGGAAGAAGAGUGUCACCGGCUCCCCGCACCUGGAGUCGCCAGAAGAGCCUGCGGUGCCGAUGGUCUUCGGUCCCUCUCUCAGAGCCUUGCUGGAGGACAUGAUGGAACUGCUUACCCGUGAGCUCCUGAAAAUUCUCUUGCAAGAGAGACUUUUGGAUGAAAACCAAGGAAAAUAUGACCUCACUGACCAGGAGACAGGGCUUUUAACAAAGGUGCUGGAGAAGUAUUUUUCAAACUGAAGAAGCGCAGCUGUGGAGGAUGAGGUCUGCAGGCUCGGCCACGCGAGGCAAACGGAGGAGAGCAUCGUCCUUGUGGGUUACUGUAGCAACAUCACUUUUAUUUAUUCUUUCUGUAAUAUUGUUAAUAGUGAUUGCUUGUAUGAAAAGCAGAGCCUCCCUGUAUAUUUCCUGUAUGUUUUCUGCUUUCUUGAUGUCUGGUGUGCCCCUGUGAAUAAAACUGGCUCUUUGCAGAGACUA